UACGGGGGGGGCAAGCGUUGUUCGGAAUUACUGGGCGUAAAGGGCUCGUAGGCGGCCAACUAAGUCAAACGUGAAAUCCCUCGGCUUAACCGGGGAACUGCGCUUGAUACUGGAUGGCUUGAGAUUGGGAGAGGGAUGCGGAAUUCCAGGUGUAGCGGUGAAAUGCGUAGAUAUCUGGAGGAACACCGGUGGCGAAGGCGGCAUCCUGGACCGAUACUGACGCUGAGGAGCGAAAGCCAGGGGAGCAAACGGG
rnacentral:rRNA from 1 species